UGCCAGCCGCCGCGGUAAUACGGAGGGUGCAAGCGUUGUUCGGAAUCAUUGGGCGUAAAGAGCAUGUAGGCGGCGGAGUAUGUCUGAUGUGAAAGCCCGGGGCUUAACCCUGGAAGUGCAUUGGAAACUGCUUCGCUUGAGUCUCGGAGAGGAUAGCGGAAUUCCUGGUGUAGAGGUGAAAUUCGUAGAUAUCAGGAGGAACACCGGUGGCGAAGGCGGCUAUCUGGACGAAGACUGACGCUGAGAUGCGAAAGCGUGGGGAGCAAACAGGAUUAGAUA
rnacentral:rRNA from 1 species